rnacentral:rRNA from 1 species
GACGAACGCUGGCGGCGUGCCUAAUACAUGCAAGUCGAACGCAGUGGGGACGGGUGAGUAACACGUGGGUAACCUCCCAUCAGAGGGGAUAACACUUGGAAACAGGUGCUAAACCGAUACUGAUGGAUGGACCCGCGGUGCAUUAGCUAGUUGUUGGGGUAACGGCUCACCAAGGCCACGAUUCAUCGACGAGCUGGGAGGGGGAGCAGCCACACUGGGAAGGAGACACGGCCCAGACUCCUACGGGAGGCAGCAGUAGGGAAUCUUAGGCAAUGGACGAAAGUCUGACCGAGCAACGCCGAGUGAGUGAAGAAGGUUUUCGGAUCGUAAAACUCUGUUGUUAGAGAAGCGGUAUCUAACCAGAAAGCCACGGCUAACUACGGGCCAGCAGCCGCGGUAAUUC